GAGUUUGAUCCUGGCUCAGAACGAACGCUGGCGGCAUGCCUAACACAUGCAAGUCGAACGCCCCGCAAGGGGAGUGGCGAACGGGUGAGUAACGCGUGGGAACCUACCCAGCAGUUGGGGAUAACCGCGGGAAACUGCGGCUAAUACCGAAUACGUCCUUAGGGAGAAAGAUUUAUCGCUGUUGGAGGGGCCCGCGUCGGAUUAGCUAGUUGGCGGGGUAAAGGCCCACCAAGGCGACGAUCCGUAGCUGGUCUGAGAGGAUGAUCAGCCACACUGGGACUUAGACACGGCCCAGACUCCUACGGGAGGCAGCAGUGGGGAAGUAUUGGACAAUGGGGGCGAACCCUGAUCCAGCAAUGCCGCGUGAGUGAUGAAGGCCUUAGGGUUGUAAAGCUCUUUUACCGGGACGAUGAUGACGGUACCCGGGGAUAAGCCUCGGCUAACUACGUGCCAGCCGCCGCGGUAAC
rnacentral:rRNA from 1 species